UACGGGGGGAGCAAGCGUUGUUCGGAUUUACUGGGCGUAAAGAGCGCGUAGGCGGCCCGGAAAGUGGGGUGUGAAAACCCGAGGCUCAACCUCGGGCGUGCAUUCCAAACUCCCGGGCUUGAGGCAGGUAGGGGAGAUCGGAAUUCCUGGUGUAGCGGUGAAAUGCGCAGAUAUCAGGAGGAACACCGGUGGCGAAGGCGGAUCUCUGGGCCUGUUCUGACGCUGAGGCGCGAAAGCUAGGGGAGCGAACAGG
rnacentral:rRNA from 1 species